AGUAAAAGUCGUAACAAGGUCUCCGUUGGUGAACCAGCGGAGGGAUCAUUACAGAGUUUUCUAAACUCCCAAACCCAUGUGAACAAUACCUGUGCCUCGGCGGUGAUACCCCCUAAGUGCUACCCUGCACUUCAGGGUGGCUAGCCGUCGAAGGACCAUAAACUCUUGUUUUACUGUACCUCUGAAUCAAAAACUUAAUAAGUUAAAACUUUCAACAACGGAUCUCUUGGUUCUGGCAUCGAUGAGGAACGCAGCGAAAUGCGAUAAGUAAUGUGAAUUGCAGAAUUCAGUGAAUCAUCGAAUCUUUGAACGCACAUUGCGCCCAUUAGUAUUCUAUUGGGCAUGCCUGUUCGAGCGUCAUUUCAACCCUCACGCACUGCGUGGCAUUGGGCUCGCCCCUGCUGGGCUUGCCUCAAAAUCAGUGGCGGCUUCUUCAGCACCCCUAGGCGUAGUAAUGCUACCGCUUGUGGAAGCUGGAGCGGCCUGCUAGGAACCCCCACAUCUUAAAGGUUGACCUCGGGUCAGGUAGGGAUACCCGCUGAACUUAAGCAUAUCAAUAAGCGGAGGAAAAGAAACCAACAGGGAUUGCCCUAGUAACG
rnacentral:rRNA from 1 species